GACGAACGCUGGCGGCGUGCCUAAUACAUGCAAGUAGAACGCACAGUUUAUACCGUAGCUUGCUACACCAUAGACUGUGAGUUGCGAACGGGUGAGUAACGCGUAGGUAACCUGCCUGGUAGCGGGGGAUAACUAUUGUAAACGAUAGCUAAUACCGCAUCAUAUUGAUUAUUGCAUGAUAAUUAAUUGAAAGGUGCAAUUGCACCACUACCAGAUGGACCUGCGUUGUAUUAGCUAGUAGGUGAGGUAACGGCUCACCUAGGCGACGAUACAUAGCCGACCUGAGAGGGUGAUCGGCCACACUGGGACUGAGACACGGCCCAGACUCCUACGGGAGGCAGCAGUAGGGAAUCUUCGGCAAUGGACGAAAGUCUGACCGAGCAACGCCGCGUGAGUGAAGAAGGUUUUCGGAUCGUAAAGCUCUGUUGUAAGAGAAGAACGGGUGUGAGAGUGGAAAGUUCACACUGUGACGGUAGCUUACCAGAAAGGGACGGCUAACUACGUG
rnacentral:rRNA from 1 species